UUUUUUUGUAUGUUUCACCCACAAAUAAACAGAAAUAAAAAGGUAAAACAAAAUCUACUUAGUGAAGAAAGCAAACAAGCACACACGAGAAUAUCAACCCCACGUUAUUGCUCCCCGGCAACGGCGCCAGAAAAGAGCUUGAUAAUCCCCAAGUGCAAGGAAUCAUCGUAGCAAUUUCCAAAGGUGGAAGUGAUAAGUAUGGAGUGUCGAACCCACAAGGAGCUAAAGGUAAGAUCAAUAUUCUCUCAAGCCCUAUCUGCCACUGAUACGACUCUACGUACACCGAACGUUUGCUUCCAACUAGCAACGAGAAAUAAAACUAUCUUGUGGGUAUGAAGAGGAUAACUUUGUAUGAUAUCGGAGAGCUAAAAUAUAAAAGUAGGUUCUGUUAUCAUAAAGUUGGAAUAUAUUACUAAAUAUUAUAAAUAGCGAGUGUGGAAUAAUGGUGGAUCGGUGUGCGGAUUUGUCCUAGGCAAUUGUUAACAAGACCAGUUAUCACUAUUGCAGUUUCAUAUGAGGGAGAGGCAUAAGCUAACAUACUUUCUCUACUUGGAUCAUAUGCACUUAUGAUUGGAACUCUAGCAAGCAUCCGCAACUACUAAAGAUCAUUAAGGUAAAACCCAACCAUAGCAUUAAAGCAUCAAGUCCUCUUUAUUCCCAUACGCAACAAUCCCUCUUACUCGGGUUUGUGUUUCAGUCACUCACCAACCCACUAUAAGUGAAUCAUGAACGUAUUGCAACACCCUACAGCGGGAAUCCCUCACACUUGCGCGACACGUAGGGCACCAUAGGACAGCACCAAAAUCAAACAUACAACUCAUACCAAUCUAGAUCAUCAAUCAACCCAAAGACAAAAGAUAUCUACUCAAAACAUCAUAGGAUGGCAACACAUCAUUGGAUCAUAAUAUGUGGCAUAAAGCACCAUGUUCAAGUAGGGAUUACAGCGGGGUGCGGGAGAGUGGACCGCGUAAAAGAGAUGAGGAUGGUGAUGUUGAUGAAGACGAUCACCGUGGCGAUGAUUCCCCUUCCGAUGGCACUCCGAUGCCACCAAGAGAGAGGAGGAGAGGUUCUCCCCCUUGUGCUUCCUCCUCCAUGGCCUCCACCCUCUGGUACUUGGCCUUCAUGGUGAUGAUGGCCCCUCCGGGAUACUCCUCCAUGGCCACCGGUGAUGAUGGCCCCCUCCGGCAGGGUGCCGGAGAGGGCCUAGAUUGACUUCUCGUGGCUACAGAGGCUUGCAGCGGCGGAACUUCCGAUCUAGGUUUCUUUCUGGAAGUUUGGGUAUAUAUAGAAGAGUUUUGCAUUGAUUUCACGUCAGGGGGGUCUCCGGGCUGUCCACGAGGCAGGGGGGCGCGCCCCCCACCCUCGUGGGCAGCCCGGGACUCUUCUGGCCUGCUUCUGGUACUCCGUGGGCUUCUUCUGGUCCAAAAAUGAUCUCCGUCAAGUGGCACGUCAAUUGGACUCCGUUUAGUUUUCCUUUUCUGCGAUACUCUAAAACAAGGAGAAAACAGAAACUGGCACUGGGCUCUAGGUUAAUAGGUUAGUCCCAAAAAUCAUAUAAAAUAUCAUAUAAAUGCAUAUAAAACAUCCUAGAAGGAUAGUAUAAUAGCAUGAAUACUUCAUAAAUUUUAGAUACGUUGGAGACGUAUCAACCGCCUCUUCGCCCUAUAAAUUCGAAAAUAUUCCAGAAACUCUGGGGGAGUUGACGACAUACAAUUCCAGCCGCCGCAAGUCCCAGAACCACGAGAUCCAAUCUAGCACCAUCACGGAGGGGUUCAUCAUCCUCAUUGGUGCGUCUCCAAUGAUGCGUGAUUAGUCCACCAUAGACCUAAGGGUCCGUAGGCAGUAGCUAGAUGGCUUCUUCUCUCUUUUUGAUUCUCAAUAUAAUGGUCUCUUCGAGAUCUAUUUGAUGUAACUCUUUUUGCGGUGUGUUUGUUGGGAUCCGAUGAACUUUGACUUUAUGAUCAGAUCUAUAUCCAUGAAUAUUAUUUGAGUCUUCUUUGAUCUCUUAUAUGCAUGAUUAUUUAUAGCCUCGUAUUUCUUCUUUGAAUCUUUGGUUUAGUUAGGCCAACUAUAUCGAUUUUUCUUGGCAUGGGAAGAGGUGCUUUGUGAUGGGUUUGAUCUUGCGGUGUCCUCUCCCAGUGACAGAAGGGGCAGGGAGGCACGCAUGUAUCGUUGCUAUUAAGGAUAACAAGAUGGGGUCUAUUCCUACAUGAAUAGAUCUUAUCUAUGUCAUCGUUCUUAUUGCAUUACUCCGUUUCUCCAUGAACUUAAUACACUAGAUAUAUGCGGGAUAGCGGUCGAUGUGUGGAGUAAUAGUAGUAGAUGCAGGCAGGAGUCGGUCUACUAAUCUUGGACGUGAUGCCUAUAUAUUGAUCAUUGCCUUGGAUAUCGUCAUAAUUAUUCGAUCUUCUAUCAAUUACCCAACAGUAAAAAAAUUACCCACUGUAUGCUAUUUUCUCGAGAGAGAACCAGUAGUGAAAUCUACGACCCUUGGGUCUAUCUUUUAUCAUAUUGCUUUCAGAUCUAUUUUUAUUCACGUUUGUUUUCAUAUCUAUUUUUCCAAAAACCCAAAAAUACCAUGCUGAACUUUUUCUUUAUUUAUUUUAUUUCAUGUUUUUUCAAGAUCCAUUUAUCCAAAAUUAUACAAACCGAUCUAUCAUUUUACCAAGGAGGGAUUGAUAACCCCUCUUACGUGUUGGGUUGCGAGGAUUUGUUCUUUGUGUGCAGGUAUCGUUUACAUAGUGUUGCUUAGUUCUCCUACUGGAUUGAUACCUUGGUUUCAUAAGUGAGGGAAAUACCUACCGUAGUUGUACUGCAUCAUGCCUUCCUCUAUGCAGAAAUACCGAUGCGGUUUCAAGCCGCAUCAAAAGGAAUUUCUGGCGCCUUUGCCGGGGAGACAUCAUCAACAUCUAUCAGGUUCCUAAUCACAAAUCUCAUCUCCUUGCAAUUUACAUUAUUUGCCAUUCGCCCUCUUUUUAUUUCACAUUUUUCUCGUCAGAUCUGUCUUUUUGUUUGCAAUCUUGUUUGCGUAGUCAUGAUAUCUCAAGAAAACACCAAGUUGUGUGAUUUUUCCAAUACCAAUAUUAAUGAUUUUAUUAGCACUCCGAUUGCUUCUCCCACCACUAGUGCGGAGACUUAUGAUAUUAAUGCCGCUUUGUUGAAUCUUGUUAUGAAAGAGCAAUUUCCGGUACUCCUAACGAGGAUGUCGCGUCCCAUCUAAACACAUUCGUAGAAUUGUGUGAUAUUCAAAAGAAAAAAGAUGUGGACAAUGAUAUUGUGCAGUUGAAAUUAUUUCCAUUCUCUUUGAGGUAUCGUGCAAAAAUUUGGUUUUCUUCUUUGCCUCGCAAUAGUAUCGAUUCUUGGGAUAAGUGCAAAGAUGCUUUUAUUACUAAGUAUUUUCCGCCCACAAAAAUUAUUUCCCUUAGAACUCAGAUCAUGAAUUUUAAGCAACUUGAGCAUGAACAUGUUGCGCAAUCUUGGGAAAGAAUGAAAUUGAUGCUAAGAAAUUGUCCUACUCAUGGUUUAAAUCUUUGGAUGAUUAUACAAAAACGCGAGAUUGAAUUUUGUUUCUAGAAAUCUUUUAGAUUCUGCCGCAGGUUGUACUUUUAUGGAUAUUACUUUGGGUGAAGCUACUAAAUUUCUUGAUAAUAUUAUGGCAAAUUAUUCACGAUGGCAUACUGAAGGAGCACCUACUAGUAAAAAGGUUAAUUCGGUUGAAGAAAUUACUACUUUGAGUGAAAAAGUUGAUGCUCUUAUGAAAUUGGUUGCUAGUAAAAGUGCUCCUAUUGAUCUUAAUGAUGUGCCUUUUUCUACUUUGAUUGAGAAAAAUAGUGAUCUUGUAGAUGUGAAUUUUUUCUCGCGAAACAAUUUUAAUAACAAUGCUUAUAGAGGUCAUUUUAAUCCUAGGCCUUUUCCUAGAAAUUCCUCUAAUAAUUAUGGUAAUUCCUAUGGUAAUCCUUCUUACAAAAAUAAUAGGAACCCCUCUGAUCUUGAGAAUAAUAUUAAAGAAUUUAUCAAUGCUCAAAAAGUUUUCAACACUAGGACAGAAGGAAAGUUGAUUAAGAUUGAUGAUAUAUCUAGAAGCAUUGAUAGAAUUUCCCAUGAUGUAGAAAAUCUCAAGAUUAAAAAUUUUCCACCUAAGGUUGAUAUCAAUGAAUCAACUAAGGGAAACUCUUACCAUCACCUAGCGGAUCGCAGCGUCCGCAUCCACCACCUCCCCUGCGUUACACGUGUCCUAGUGAGAGCCCGCAUACGAUCCUUUGUCGAACACACUUCUGCAACAAGAGCUAUGUUUUUGAAACAUAUGUAGUGUUGCAAUGGUCCACGGCGGGUCUACGUUUUGCGACAAAAUCUCUCUUGCAAAAAAUUUCUGCAACAAGACCUCGGUUGCAAAAAAUGCAACAAAACAACUAUUGCAAAAAAAUCAGCAACAAGACCUGUGUUGCAGAAAUAAUUCUGCAACAAGACCUGUGUUGCAAUGGUAGGGCGCGCUCGGCCGCUUGAUGCGGCAAAUCUGACAGCUCACGACCCAGCUGAUCUUUUAAAAAGAUCAGUCGGUGGACGCGUAGCACGUCCCAUCAAUUAAAGCCUUAUAUGUUUCUAUGGAUGAAAGUAAGAAAAGAACCGCUAUGCUUAGAGCUAAAAGAGAAUUAUUAGAAAGAGCGUUUUCUACCGAUUGCUUUCAUAAAAAUGAUGAAGAUCUUAAAGUGAUUGGCAUUUCUUCUAUUGAUUCCUUGUUUAGUAAUAUUAAAAUCGAUGCUAAAGGGAUUGAAUAAGAGUCAACUUUAGCUAGAAGGUGUCUCGAUGAUUCGGAGGGUGAAAAUCUUGAUGAAAAAAUUGAUAAAAGUGGGUUUGGAGAGGUCAAAACUUUAACUAGUGAUGUGCCCACCCUUUUGGAUUACAAAGACUUUAAUUAUGAUAGUAGCUCUUUGAUUGAAUGUAUUUCUUUGUUGCAAUCCAUGAUAAAUUCACCUCAUGCCUAUGAACAAAACAAAACUUUUAUUAAACAUAUUGUGGAUGCCAUGAUGAAAGCUUUAGAAGAAAAGUUGAAAUUAGAGAUUUCAAUUCCUAGAAAAUUACAUGAUGAAGGGGAACCCACCAUUAAAGUCGAGAUUAAAAAUUAUGAGUGCUUUGCUUUAUGUGAUUUGGGUGCUAGUGUUCCACAAUUCCGAAAUCUUUAUGUGAUGUUCUUGGUCUUACCGAUAUUGAAGAAUGUUCUCUUAAUUUGCACUUGGCAGACUCUACUAUUAAAAGCCUUUGGGAAGAAUUAAUGAUUUUCUUAUUCUUGCAAAUAGGAACUAUGUGCCCAUACAUUUUAUUGUUCUUGAUAUUGAUUGCAAUCCGUCUUGUCCCAUUAUACUUGGAAGACCGUUUUUACGUACUAUAGGUGUCGUGAUUGAUAUUAAAGAAGGGAAUAUUAAAUUUCAGUUUCCACUAAGGAAGGGAAUGGAACACUUCCCUAGAACAAUAAUUAAGCCACCAUAUGAAUCAAUCAUGAGGGCAUCCUAUGGAUCAAAAACUAAAGAUGAUAACACUUGAAUCUUUGCAUUAUGCCUAGCUAGGGGCAUAAAAUGAUAGCGUUUGUUGGGAGGCAACCCAAUGAAUAAGUUCUAUUUUUUCCUUUUUCUUUAUGUUCUUGAGUGUUCACACAAUUAUGCUACUAUUAUGGUUGUGUUCUUGUUUUAAUUAGUUUUUGUGCAAAUUAAAGCCUUUGCGAUCAUCUUUGAUGAUAGUUGAUUUGAUCUUGUUGAAAAACAGAAACUUUUGCGCCUGGUAGCAGAAUUGUUAAAAAUCACAUAAGCAUGAAUAAAUUCUAAAUUUUUUACACAAGAUUGACAUACAAAUUUCCUAUGUUGUCCUAAUUUUUUAGAACUUUUGGAGUUACAGAAGUAUGGACAAAGUCGAGAUUACUACAGACUGUUCUGUUUUUGUUGCAUUGUGUACUUAUUUUGAUGAAUCUAUGGAUUGUAUUGGGGGUAUAAGCCAUGGAAAAUUUGGAAUACAUUAGAUAUAAUGCAAGAAUAAAGUAUGAAUGGGUUUGCAACAAUACGUAUAGUAGUGAUUUGCUUUAUUAUACUAACGGAUCUCACAAAGGUUUUGUUAAGUUUUGUGUGAUUGAAGUUUUCAAGUUUUGGGUGAGAUCAUGUUGAUGAAGGAAUAAGGAGUGAAAAGAGAUUAAGCUUGGGGAUGCCCCAUGGAAUCUCAAAUUAUUAUUCAAGGAGAACCAAGCAACUAAGCUUGGGGAUGCCUCAGAAGCCAUCCCCUCUUUCUUCUAACGACCAUCGGUAAUUGUACUUGGUGCUAUAUUUUUAUUCGUCACAUAUCAUGUGUUUUGCUUGGAGCGUCUUGUAUUAUAUGAGUCUUUGCUUGUUUUGCUUUUUAGUUUAUCACAGGUAUCCUUGCUGGACACACCUAUUUGAGAGAGCCAAAAUUAUGCUAUGAUUUAUUAGAAUUGCUCUAUGUGCUUCACUUAAAAAAAUUGAGCUAUGGAAUUGCUCUAGUGCUUCACUUAUAUCUUUUUUAGCAUGGUGUGCUUUAAUAUUUUUGAAGAAAUACUCUCAUGCUUCACUUAGAUUUAUUUGCGAGUUAGUAAAAUUCUUGAAGAAAUUCUCUCAUACUUCACUUAUAUUAUUUUGAGAGAUUGAAAUCUUGAUGCUCAUGUUCUUCAUUUAAAUUUAUUUGAGAUUGUCAAAAGCAAUUGCAAUAUAUGAAACAAGUCCCAAAGUGAUAGAUAUUCAAGAGGGAUAUAAUAAAAAAUUUCAUGAAGAUCAUUGGACAAAAUAAACUUGAUUCUUUGUAAAAGUUUUGAGAUAUGAUGAUAGUAAUAUAUGAGUCAUGUUUGUAAGUAAUUAUGCUUUAGUAAGAAUAUUGGUGUUAAGGUUUGUGAUUCCCUAUGCAAGCACGAAAGUCAAUAGUUAUGCAAUGAAAUUACAUCCUAUUUGUGGUGCAUUAUUCGGUGUUAGUUAUGCUUAAUGCUCGUUUAUGUGAAUUUUUGUUUCUUAGUUGGUUGCUUCUCAAUCUUUUUGCUUGCCUCCACUUGUACUAAGUAGAAAUACUACUUGUGCAUACAAAAUCCUUAAACCAGUUUUGCCAUAUGAGUCCACCAUACCUACUUAUAUGCAGUAUUUAUGUGCCGUUCUAAGUAAAUUUGUAUCUGCCAUCUCUAAUUUCCAAAAUGAAUUUCCUUUUUGUGUGCCUGUACCGCUCAUGAAGCGGCAGGGGGUGGCCAAUAUUUUCCAUGCUAGAUGUCUUAUUCUCAAGAUGAGUGUUUAUUCACUUGUCAUUGCACGAGAGUACGGCGGUAAUAGGGAUGCCCAGUCCCGAAAUGAAAAAGAAAUUUACUUUAUGUUGUCAAAUAAUAAAUUCCUUGAAAAGUGUUGGUAUGGAAGGUACCCGUGGAUACGGCUAGCCAUGGAUUGUGAAAGAAUGGUGGAAAAAGGAAUAACUUUAUUUUAUGUUUGGGAACUGCCUAUGUUAUAUCUAGCAUGGAAAAUGUUGGGAAUUACUCGGUCAUUUUUGUUGACGGGAAAAGUAUGCCUCUCAAAAAAAAUUAUCUCUCAAUUUUUGCUUUGAGCUCUAGCACCUCUACAAAUCUCUGCUUCCCACUCCGAAGGGCCUACCUAUUUACUUUAUGCAAUUUUUAUUUUUAUUUGAGUCUCCAUCUUCUCUUAUAAAGCACCAACUAGGGAGCACUAUGAUCAUACUUGAGCACUGGAUAUAGCUAAUAUUCGAGUGUGUUUCGUGAAUGGAUCAAUGAUUGAGCAUGAUGGGCUAGGGAUAACUUUCUUUAGUGUUGAUGUUUGGAAAGACAUGGUUGCUAAUUGAUAUGCUUGAGUAUUGAAGUCUUCAUGUCAAAACUAGACUAUUGCUUUGAAUAAUCUAAAAGUCCAAAUAUCCAUGCUACAAAAGAAAAGAUUACGUAAUGAACAUGUUAGGCGGCAUUCCACAUCAAAAAUUCUGUUUUUGUCAUUUACCUACUCGAGGACGAGCAUGAAUUAAGCUUGGGGAUGCUGAUAUGUCUCCAACGUAUCUAUAAUUUUUUAUUGUUCCAUGCUGUUAUAUUAUCAUUCUUGGAUGUUUUGAAAUCAUCUUGUAUCAACUUUAUAUCAUUUUUGGGAUUAACCUAUUGACAUAGUGCCCAGUGCCAGUUGCUGUUUUUUGCUUGUUUUUUACUUCAUACAAUAUCAGUACCAAAUGGAGUCCAAACGUAGCGAAACUUUUUGGAGAUUUUUUGGACCAGAAGACACCUUGGGGGCCAAGAAAGCACCAGAGGGGAUCCCUGUGGGGACCACAAGACACCUGGGCGCGCCAGGAGGCCUAGGCGCGCCCAAGUGGGUUGUGGGCCCCAUGGAGGUCUCCUGCACCGCCUCUUCACCCUAUAAAUUCACAAAUAUUCCAGAAACCCUAGGGGAGUCGAUGAAACACAAUUCCAGCCACCACAAGUCCCAGAACCACGAGAUCCAAUCUAACACCAUCACGAAGAGGGUCAUCAUCCUCAUUGGUGCCUCUCUGAUGAUGCGUGAGUAGUCCACCAUAGACCUAAGGGUCCGUAGGCAGUAGCUAGAUGGCUUCUUCUCUCUUUUUGAUUAUCAAUACAAUGGUCUCUUGGAGAUCUAUUUGAUGUAACUCUUUUUGCAGUGUGUUUGUUGGGAUCCGAUGAACUUUGACUUUAUGAUCAGAUCUAUAUCCAUGAAUAUUAUCUGAGUCUUCUUUGAUCUCUUAUAUGUAUGAUUAUUUAUAGCCUCGCAUUUCUUCUUCAAAUCUUUGGUUUAGCUAGGCUAACUAGAUCGAUUUUUCUUACCAUGGGAAGAGGUGCUUUGUGAUGGGUUCGAUCUUGCGGUGUGCUCUCCCAGUGACAGAAUGGACAGUGAGGCAUGCAUGUAUCAUUGCUAUUAAGGAUAACAAGAUGGGGUCUAUUCCUACAUGAAUAGAUCUUGUCUACAUCAUGUCAUCGUUCUUAUUGCAUUACUCCGUUUCUCCAUGAACUUAAUACACUAGAUGCAUGCUGGAUAGCGGUUGAUGUGUGGAGUAAUAGUAGUAGAUGCAGGCGGGAGUCGGUCUACUAAUCUUGGACGUGAUGCCUAUAUAUUGAUCAUUGCCUUGGAUAUCGUCAUAAUUAUUCGAUAUUCUAUCAAUUUCCCAACAGUAAUUUGUUUACCCACCUUAUGCUAUUUUCUCAAGAGAAGCCACUAGUGAAAUCUACGGCCCCCAGGUCUAUCUUUUAUCAUAUUGCUUUCAAAUCUAUUUUUAUUCGCGUUUGUUUUCAGGUCUGUUUUUCCAAAAAUCCAAAAACACCUUGCUACACUUUUUCUUUAUAGAUUUAUUGUGUCUUUGCAAGAUCUAUUUAUCCAAAAUUAUACAAACCGAUCUAUCUUUUUACCAAGGAGGGAUUGACAACUUCUCUUACGCGUUGGGUUGCGAGGAUUUGUUCUUUGUGUGCAGGUACCAUUUACAUAUUUUGCUUGGUUCUCCUACUGGAUUGAUACACUGAUUUCAUAACUGAGGCAAAUACCUACCAUAGCUGUACUGCAUCAUCCCUUCCUCUUUGGGGAAAUACCGACGCAGUUUCAAGCCGCAUCAGAGCCGGCUUACAAGAGUAGAUGACUCCUAUAAAAAUUGUUGAUAUUUGUGAGCCCGGCUGUGGCUCUGUAAUAGGGUAGUUAUGAUACUUGCUCUAACUAUGAUGUCAUGCACUUGAUACUUUUGCAGAAUAUAUUUGAGUCUGUGCGGUGUUUUGUUAACCCGCCUGAUUUUUGUAUGUUUGUACUAUGUUUCUGCUUGCAUCGAUGAGCAACUGUUGAUAAUCUAUGAAUUUUGCGCUUGGUUGUUUAAUAGUGAUAAUAGAAUGAUAACCCGUUGUGCUAUUUCCGGGCGACUCAUGAUCGAUGGUAGCUCACUCUUGAUCAACAUAAUCUGGCGUACUAUUGACCCGGUGACUCAUAGUCGAAAUUAGAUUUGAUCAAGGAGGACGGGAUCCUGUAAAAAGGAAAUUGAAAGUCAUAGAUAAAAAUAAGUAUUAGGUCGGCUUUCGAGGUGCAACAAAAAGACUAGCUUUCGAUGCUUGGGUCUUGCUUCAGUGAAGCUGGCGUGAUAGCACAUGGUUUACCCUAGCUUUCUCUAAGCCGGCUCUCACAUGACAUAAGCCCGCGUUUUAACCUUGAAAAGUUCAAGAUCAUAAUAGAUUGACUUUCAAGAGUAUGUCAAGUCAUCUUGGAGGAGUAGCAUCAAGCAAAUAGGCAGGUUUAACCAUGAUUUAUAAUGGCAUAUGCCGGGUCAAGAGGGAUGUUAAUGGAUAAACUCGAUGAGUUGGAAGCCCCCAAGUGACCUAUGACCAGAAAAUAAAGGCUCAUUCACAAUAUUUGAGAUGAAAUGAUAGAGGCCCCGAGUUUUGGGGAUGUCGGCUUUAUUAUAAUGAUCAUAAAUAUAUAUACAAAGUUAUUUUACAAGAUAAGGAGCCAGUGGCUCUCAGGUAUAAUAAGACCGAAGAUGAGCAAUGUUCCAAGGCCUGUUUGUUUCUUCCUUAGAGGUACGUGAUUUUUUGUGUUCAUGUAUGUCAAUCAGAUAAUAUGACCCAUUCUUGAGGUUCUUGCUGAUGACAAAAGGCCCUUCCCAUGGAGGGGAAAGCUUAUGCAUACCUGUCUGUUCUUGUAUCAGAAGGAGCACUAAGCCGCCCUCCUAGAAAGUAUGGUUGUGAACUCUACGGCUAUGAUAGCGACAUAAGUCUUGCUGAUAUAUUGCAGACCGUGCUGCGGCAAAGUCAAGUUCUUCUUCCAAGGCAUUCAAAGUGUCCUGGAGAGCUUGUUCAUUAUUUUCUUUGACAUAAGUUGCUACUCUUGGAGAAUCAUGACGGAUGUUGCUAGGUAACAUAACUUCUGCGCCAUAGACCAUGAAGAAGGGAGUGUAUCCUGUUGAUAUAUUGGGGGUGGUCCAUAUACUCCAAAGGACAUAGGGGAGCUCCUCAACCCAACAACCCGGAGUACGCUCCAGGGGAACCAUGAGCCUUGGCUUGAUACCUCGUAAAAUCUCCUGGUUGGCGCGUUCUGCUUGCCCAAUGGACUGGGGAUGUGCUACCGAUGCUACAUCAAGCCGGAUAUGUUCGUGUUGGAAAAACUGCUUCAUAGCUCCCUUGGACAAGUUAGUUCCAUUAUCAGUGAUGAUGCGGUGCGGAUAACCAAAGCAAAAGAUCAAUUUUUUCAGGAACUGGACAAUCGUGGCCGCAUCACAAUUGCUUAUUGGCUCUGCUUCAACCCACUUGGUAAAUUUAUCAACAGCAGCCAAAAGGUGGGUCUUCUUGUCCUUUGAUCGCUUGAAUGGGCCAACCAUAUCAAGUCUCCAGACAGCGAACGGCCAGGUGAUUGGAAUCAUCCGAAGUUCUUGAGCUGGAACAUGAGCUUGAUGUGCAAACUUCUGGCAUCCAUCACACUUACACACAAUAUCCUAAGCACCUGCGUAAGCCGUGAGCCAGUAAAAACCGUGUCGAAACGCUUUCGCCACUAGGGAUCUUGAGCCGGCAUGAUGACCACAAUCACCAAAGUGAAUUUCAUUCAGGAUUUCUCGUCCUUCGUCAGGGGAAACACAACGUUGAAAAACACAUGUGAUGCUUCUUCUGUGCAACUCGCCUUUAACAAUAGUCAUGGACUUGGAGCAUCAGACGAUCUGACGAGAAAUGAGUUCAUCCUCAGGAAGCUCACCGCGAGUCAAAUAAGCCAAAUAAGGAGUCAUCCAAUCUGGUAUAGCACGAAGAGUAGCCACCAACUGUGCCUCUGGGUCAGCUAUAGCAAGUUCUUCCUCUUACGGCAAUUUAAUAGAGGGACUGUGGAGAACAUUAAGGAAAACUUUUGGAGGGACCGGCUUACGCUGAGAGCCAAGUGAUACGUCUCCAACAUAUCUAUAUUUUUUUAUUGUUCCAUGCUGUUAUAUUAUCAUUCUUGGAUAUUUGACAAUCAUUUUAUAGCAACUUUAUAUCAUUUUUUGGGACUAACCUAUUGACAUAUUGCCCAGUGUCAGUUGUUGUUUUUUGCUUGUUUUUUACUUCGCAGAAAAUCAAUACCAAACGGAGUCCAAACACAGCGAAACUUUUUGGAGAAUUUUUCUGGGCCAGAAGACACACGAUGGGCCAAAGAAGUACCAGAGGGGUGCCCCGAGGGGGGCACAACCCACCUGGGCGCACCUGGGCCUCGGGGCACAACCCACCUGGGCGUGCCUGGGGGCCCAGGCGCGCCCUGGUGGGUUGUGCCCACCUCGAUGGCCUCCCGCACCGCCUCUUUGCUCUAUAAAUACCCCAAUAUUCCAGAAACCCUAGGGGAGUCGACAAAAAACAAUUCCAGCCGCCGCAAGUUCCAGAAACCACAAAUCCAAUCUAGACACCAUCACGGAGGGGUUCAUCAUCCUCAUUGGUGCCUCUCUGAUGAUGCGUGAGUAGUUCAUUGUAGACCUACGGGUCCGUAGUUAGUAGCUAGAUGGCUUCCUAUCUCUCUUUUGAUUCUCAAUAUAAUGGUCUCUUGGAGAUCUAUUUGAUGUAACUCUUUUUGCGGUGUGUUUGUUGGGAUCCGAUGAACUUUGACUUUAUGAUUAGAUCUAUGUUUUUAUCCAUGAAAGUUAUUUGAGUCUAAUCUCUUAUAUGCAUGAUUACUUAUAGCCUCGUAUUUCUUCUUCGAAUCUUUGGUUUAGUUAGGCCGACUAGAUCAAUUUUUCUUGCCAUGGGAAAGGUGCUUUGUGAUGGGUCCGAUCUUACAGUGCUCGAUCCCAGUGACAGAAGGGGAAACGACACGUAUGUAUCGUAGCUAUUAAGGAUAAAAAGAUGGGGUCUAUUCCUACAUGGAUAGAUCUUGUCUACAUCAUGUCAUCGUUCUUAUUGCAUUAAUUACUCCAUUUCUCCAUGAACUUAAUACACUAGAUGGAUGUUGGAUAGCGGUUGAUGUCUGGAGUAAUAGUAGUAGAUGCAGGCAAGAGUCGGUCUACUAAUCUUGGACGUGAUGCCUAUAUAAUGAUCAUUGCCUGGAUAUCGUCAUGAUUAUUUGAAGUUCUAUCAAUUGCCCAAUAGUAAUUUGUUUACUCACCGUAUGCUAUUUUUCUUGACAGAAGCCACUAGUGAAAUCUACGGCCCCCGGGUUUCUUCUUUAUCAUAUUUGCCUUCGAGAUCUAUUUUUAUUUGCUUUUAUUUUCAGAUCUAUUAAUCGGAAAACCCAAAAAUACCUUGCUGUAAUUUAUUGUUAUUUAUUUUAUCUCACGUUCCCGCGAGCUUUAUUUAUCCAAUCUACUACAACUUUUACCUAUCUUUUACCCGAGAGGGAUUGACAACCCCUCUUUUUACGUCGGGUUGCAAGUAUUUGUUCUUUGUGUGCAGGUGCCGUUCACGUAGUGUUGCGUGGUUCUCCUACUGGUUCGAUAACCUUGGUCUCAUCACUGAGGGAAAUACCUACCGUAGAUGUGCUGCAUCAUCCCUUCCUCUUUGGGGAAAUCCCGACGUAGUUCAAGCCGCAUCACCAAAUCAUGACAAUGCAUCAUCCGCCUUGUUGAGCCGUCGAUCAAUGUGAUCAACCUGAUAACCUUUAAAAUGUCCAGCGAUAUUAGUCACUGCUUGUCGAUAAGCCGCCAUGAGGGGGUCCUUGGAAUCCCACUUUCCAGAAACUUGCCGAGCAACCAGAUCAGAGUCGCUGAGGCACCAGACUCGGCUAAGAUUCAUCUCUUUAGCCAUACGGAGGCCAUGAAGGAGGGCCUCAUAUUCAGCUGCAUUGUUAGUACAAGUAAACAUAAUCCUUAGACCAUAACAAAACUUGUCACCUCGAGGGGAAGAUAAGAUGACUCCAGCCCCCGAGCCCUCCAAUUGCCUGGAACCAUCAAAAUGAAUUGUCCAAUAAGUGUUGUCUUGCUUCUCCUCGGGAACUUGAAGUUCAGUCCAAUCGUUGAUGAAAUCCACCAAUGCUUGAGACUUGAUAGCUAUCCGGGGCACAUAUUUUAGAUGAUGCGGCCCAAGCUCAAUUGCCCACUUAGCAACCUGACCUAUAGCUUCCCUGUUCUGGAUGAUAUCUCCCAAAGGGGCGGAGCUUACUACAGUGAUGGGGUGUUCCUGGAAAUAAAGCUUCAACUUGCGACUAGCCAUGAAGACAACAAAUACCAGUUUCUGCCAAUGCAGAUACCUUUGCUUGGACUCUGUCAAAACUUCACUGAUAUAAUAAACUGACCUUUGGACUGGAUAUUCUUUGCCAGCCUCCUUGCUCUCCACGACGACUGCAACACUGACCGCUUUAUUAUUAACAACAAUGUACACGAGCAUAGGCUCUUUGUCAAUAGGAGUAGCAAGGACGGGUGGCUCAGCUAACUGCUUCUUGAGAGCUUCAAAAGCUUUAUCUGUAGCAUCGCUCCAGACGAAAUGGUCAGUCUUUUUCAACAUCUAAUAUAAAGGAUCGCCUUCUCACCGAGGCGGCUGAUGAAUUGGCUCAAAGCAGCGAUACGACCCGCCAUACGUUGGACAUCAUUGAUGUUGGCCGGCUUAGCAAGGGAGGUUACCGCCUUGAUUUUCUUCGGAUUAGCUUCAAUGCCUCGCUUAGACACCAGAAAACUUAGCAAUUUGCCUGCAGGAACCCCAAAAACACACUUGGACGGGUUAAGCAUCAUCUUAUAAACCCGAAGAUUAUCAAAGGUUUCCUUGUGGUCAUCCGGCAGUAUUUCCUUCUUCUGAGACUUGACUACGAUAUCAUCAACAUAAGCAUGAACAUUGCGCCCGGCCUAAUUGUGAAAACAAUUCUGCAUGCAGCGUUGAUAAGUGUCUCCCGUGCUGUUAAGCCCAAAAGGCAUAGAGACAUAGCAGAAAGCCCCAAAGGGCGUGAUGAAGGAUGUCUUCUCCUGAUCCUCAACAACCAUCUUUAUCUAAUGAUAGCCGGAGUAAGCAUCCAGGAAACAUAAGCUCUCACACCCAGCAGUGGAAUCGAUGAUCUGAUCAAUGCGAGAGAGGGCAAACGGAUCUUUGGGGCAAGCCUUUUUAAGAUCUGUGUAAUCUACACACAUACGCCAAGUGCCGUUUUCUUGAGAACAAGUACUGGAUUGGCCAACCACUAAGGAUGAAAUACUUCCACAAUGAACCCAGCAGCUAGGAGCCGGGCCACUUCUUCCCCGAUAGUUUUGCAUCUCUCCUCAUUAAAAUGAUGGAGGUAUUCCCGGACUGGUUUCGUCUUAGGACCAACAUUGAGGUGGUGCUCAGCGAAUUCCCUCGGUACACCAGGCAUGUCAGAAGGUUUCCAUGCGAAGAUGUCCCGAUUAUCACGGAUGAACUCGAGGAACGCGAUUUCCUAUUUGGGAUCCAUGCCAUUCCCAAUAGUGAACUGUCGAGAUGAGUCGUCAGGGGUGAAGUCCACCUGUUUUGUGUCGUCGGCCGACUUAAAUUUGAGCGGGGGAUCAAACUCUGUGGUGGGUUUCUUCAGGGGGGGUCAUGUCAGCUGGGUCAACAUUGGAUGUGUAAAAAUUCAAUUCCUCUGCUGUGCAGGCUGACUCAGCAUAAGUUGCGUCCCCUUCUUCACACUCACGAGCAAUUUUUCUAUCACCAUUGACCAUGAUAGUGCCCUUUGGCCCAGGCAUUUUGAGCUUGAGAUACACAUAGCAGGGCCAGGCCAUGAAACGAGCAUAAGUCGGCCGUCCAAACAAAGCAUGAUAAGGGCUUCUGAUCUUGACCACCUCAAAUGUCUGAAAUUAUGUUCUGUAGUUGUCGAAUUCAGGGCUCCGCAGACCCUUCAGAGGUUCGAACUCUGGGGUGCGCAUGAAGGACUCUCCCUCCCCAGCUCGCCUAACAAACGAUCCCACAGCCUAGCUCGACGAACCCAAAGAACACGAGACACAGAGAUUUAUACUGGUUCGGGCCACCGUAUGGUGUAAUACCCUACUCCAGUGUGGUGGUGGAUUGCCUCGUGGACUGAGGAUGAACUAGUACAAUGGGUGAACCGCCUCAGGAGGAGAGGUGUUCUUGAGCUCUAUGAGCUGGUGAGGAUGGUCUUGGUGGAAUGGAUCCGGUCCAAGAUUAGUUUUUCUCCUAUGGUGGUGGCUAGUCCUAUUUAUAGAGGCCCCGGUGAGGGAGUCCUGGACUACGGGGUCAUUGGGUGUCCGGCCUGUUAUCCUUUGGGCCGGACUGAUGGGCUGUGAAGACAUGAAGGCCGAAGGCUAUACCCGUGUCCGGAUUGGACUCUACUUGGCGUGGAAGGCAAGCUUGGCAACCGACUAUGUCGAUUCCUUCUUAUGUAACCGACUCCGUGUAACCCUAGAUCUCUCCGGUGUCUAUAUAAACUGGAGAGCGUAGUCCGGAUAGAGAUACUCAUUACCAUAUUCACAUAGACUAGACUUCUAGAGUUUAGCCAUUAAUCUCGUGGUAGAUCAACUCUGGUAACACUCAUAUUCAUCAAGAUCAAUCAAGCAGGAAGUAGGGUAUUACCUCCAUAGAGAGGGCCCGAACCUGGGUAAACAUCGUGUCCCCUGUCUCCUGUUACCAUCUAUCCUAGACGCACUGUUCGGGACCCCCUACCCGAGAUCCACCGGUUUUGACACCGACAUUGGUGCUUUCAUUGAGAGUUCCACUGUGCCGUCGGCAAAGGGCUCGAUGGCCCCUUCGAUCGUCAGUAAUGACGUUGUCCAGGGAGAAACCUUCCUCCCCAGACAGAUCUUCGUAUUCGGCGGCUUCGUACUGCGGGCCAACUCACUUGGCCAUCUGGAGCAGAUCUACAGCUACGCCCCUGGCCAUCAGGUCAGAUUCGGAAGCUUGAACUACGUUGCGGACGUCCGUGGAGACUUGAUCUUCGACGGAUUCGAGACCGCGGCAACCGCUCCCCGUCGCCCCGAUGAACAUGGCUUAAACCUGUCAUCGGGCCGCAUCCAGGAGAUAGCUCCUGUAGCAGCUCUGGCCUUAGAUCUGGAGCAGACCAAGUCGUCCGAAGAUGGGAAGCUCAACCCCAUCACGGGGGCUACCGAUUCUACGGUGUUGGAGCCGCACGCAGAUUCCACUUCAUACGGUAUCUGCAUCAACGGAACCCCGGACUCGUCUCCGAUGUCGAGUUCCGAACCCUGCGAGCCCGCGGAUACCGAACUCGAUCAGUUAUCGAUCUUCAAGUUCAGCGUCGCAGAUGUCUUCCAACACUCGCCCAUGGGCGACCUACUAAACUCACUAAAAAACCUAUCCCUGGCAGAUGACCCGUCGCCGAACUAUGUUCGAUUCGAACUUACGGCGGAUGGUGGAGAAUUUUGCUUCCCACCCGCCACCCACUUCAUAGCCACUGUUGAAGACCCAACCAACACGCCUAACCCCCGCUCCGAAGACAUCGACGGUGACGAUGAGGGGCAAGGCCAGAGCUUACUACCCGCUAGACACGGGAUGACCACUUCCUGGUAUGACGUGUGUAUGAUAGACACACCUUACGACGCUCUCGACGAUGACAAGGAGGAUCCAGUCGAGGAUAAACCUCCUGGUACACAGUCCGAACACUGGCGCCCAUGGCGCCACUCUAAGUCACAUCGCUCAAGAGAAAACACUGCUAGCACCAGAGAAGACAACACUCCGGACAAUGAAGACCCUGUUGAGGUAGAAUCCGAACAGGAGGAACAGGAAAGCGGGCAAGACAGCCCUGAUGAACAGGCCACAUAUGGAGACUCGGAGGACAGCAAUUAUCUCCACUCUCCGAGGAAGAGGAGAUCCUCGGCAACGAGGAUUUUAUCGUGCCUAAGGAACCUCUCGAGCAGGAGCGGUUUAAACGCCGGCUUAUAGCCACUGCAAGGAGCCUAAGGAAGAAGAAGUUACAGCUUCAAGCAAGCCAAGAUUUGCUCAAUGAUAGAUGGACCGAGGUCUUGGCCGCCGAAGAAUAUGGCCUUAGCGGCCCAGACAAAAGCCACCCCAAGAGUAGGUGGCUCCCUCAAUACGAUGGCAGGGCGUUGGAGCCCACACCACCAUCGAAUAAUGCGGUGGGCCGACCACAGUUCGGUCCGGACAAAGCAGCAGCCCAAGCAGAGCACCAUACCAACCCAUCCGGCCGUCCAAGCAAGAAUAAAGAAGCUCGGGGGAACACUCGCGACAUCCAACAAGACCUGGAGGGUAGAACAGGAAACACAAAAUCGACACCCAGAUCGCGGGGACAUGCCCCGACCAGUGACGACGGUUAUCUAUUCAGACACAACAGACCCGGCCAUGCCCGGUCCGAAAACCAUAAGCAGAGUCCGCCGGAGGUGCUUCACAGUGUGGCCCAACAUAGAGGAGCCGCACACCCUCUCUGCUUCACUGACGAGGUAAUGGAGCAUGAAUUCCCAGACAGGUUUAAACCCAUUAAUAUCGAAUCAUACGAUGGAACAACAGAUCCCGCGGUAUGGAUUGAGGAUUACCUCCUCCAUAUUCACAUGGCUCGCGGAGACGACCUUCAUGCCAUUAAAUACCUACCUCUCAAGCUCAAAGGGCCUACUUGGUACUGGCUAAACAGUUUGCCAGAAAAAUCUAUUGGCAACUGGGAAGAUUUGGAAGACGCCUUUCGGGACAACUUCCAAGGAACAUAUGUCCGGCCACCAGAUGCCGAUGACUUGAGUCACAUUGUCCAGGAGCCCGGCGAGUCAGCCAGGCAGCUCUAGACUAGGUUCUUACUCAAAAAGAACCAAAUUGUCGACUGUCCAAACGCGGAAGCCCUUGCGGCCUUCAAACAUAGCGUUCGGGAUGAAUGGCUAGCGCGUCACCUCGGCCAGGAAGGACCUAAAUCCAUGACAGCCCUUACCGCUCUAAUGACUCGCUUUUGCGCGGGAGAAGACAACUGGCUCGCUCGUAAAAGCAACAACGCCAGCGACCCGGGCACUUCCGAAAUCCGAGACGGCAACGGCAAGCCACGACUAACCGAAGACAACAGUCGCAAUAAUAAUGAAAGAUUAUGUGACACAGCGGUCAACGCCGGAUUUCACAAUCCGAAACUCGUUCAACGGAAGAAGCCAUUAAAGGCAAACCAGGAUGGACCAUCCACCCUUGACAGGAUAUUGGACAAACCUUGUCAGAUUCACGGUCACCCUGAUAAGCCAGCCAAUCAUACCAACAGAAACUGUUGGGUCUUCAAGCAGGCAGGCAAGCUUAAUGCCGAGCACAAGGGGAGGAGGCCACCAGGCGAUAAAGACGAUGGAGCGGCUCGCCAGCCGAACACCAGGGGCCAGAAACAGUUUCCCUCUGAAGUUCGACCACUCCCGGAACGGAAAUAGCAGUUCGGCUUCCGCCACCCACCCACUAUACUGGCAAGAUUUACACCACGCGUACAUCACCACGCGCUCAAGAUACCAUGGGCAUCGGCGGAAGCACAAUACGGACAACCCUGCAAGCAUUCCCGUAACGUUUUCUGUCUGUUUUCCUUACUAUUCUUUAUUAUCUCUUAAAUACAGGUGACCAUCAGGACAUCAUCUACAUCGGACUCUAUCGGAGUUCGGAUCCGUACACUCACCUAAGGGGCCACUUCCAUUAAGGAUUCCCCCUCCCCGAGGACAGGCGGCGCGGACGUGCGACAGGAGGUCCAAAAUAAGUUUUUGUAGACCGCACUCUUUAUUUUGAGCCUGUCCUAUGCCUUUUUCCUCCGUUCCCAACCCCGAUCAUGUCAAAUAGCGGGGUUGUGGUUUUUACUCUUUAAAUAUAUUUAUCAUUGGCAUAUUGCUCCGCUCCUAGUAAACUUUAUCCGAACUAAUCUUCCAUGCUCUUUCUACAAUGAGUCCGGCUGUAACGGCUGCCUUACAAGAUGCACCUCGGCAUAACUUGCCAGGGGCCCGGUAUGGGAACAAAUGAGUCACCAGUAAAAGUCUGAACAGCUCUAUAGAGUACUUCGGCGUCGCAAGUUUGGCCUUAUAUGCAUCAGCUCCGAAUCAUUGUCUUUGGUCAAUAGUUGGGUUGUCCGGCUCCUGUGCUUGCUACCCUACGUUCCGCUCUAUCGGCUAGGGUAGUAAAGGGAGAACUACGGCGGCACAGCCCUGGCCUAAACCGGAUGAGCACCUUAGUAGAGAAAGCUGAAAACUGACUAUCAUGAUGCAGCGAGAGCUGGUCAACCACUUGACGACUUAUUCGAAUCUUUAGCGAUUCUCCAUGUCACACGAAGGAUCUUUUUUAGAUCAAAAUAUGUAAGGCACCAUAUUAUAAUACACCGUAUACAUACCAGGGGCUAUGUCGUAGCCCCACGAUAAUGAAAGUGUUAACGCCCUAUAGUCCGAUUGCCUGGUUCGCCGCAUUAUCACCUCCUUUAUGGACCAAGACGUUGGAUAAAGAGUGAUUAAAUGCUUUUCCGAACACCCCCGUACUUCCUACGAGGGGGCUGAAGCCGACGACUGGAAAACUUUCAGAUUAUACUAAAAUGGCCGCACAGGAGGAAUUCAAGCUCUUGAGCAAAAUAUAAACAUAGAUUAACUAUAAAGUUGUCUGUUACAACCCUUAUACACAUCACUCGAACAUUAUGUCUUUCGAGCACUGACCUUCUAUCAAACGGGCGGCCUCUAGGACGUCUUCAAAAUAGUGCUCUGGCUCACAACGGUCCUUGCCCUUGGGUGGACUCCUUGCCGCAACAUCGAUGGCCUUCAUCUUUCCCCAGAACAUUUUGACUCGGGCAAAGGCCAUCCGUGCACCCUCAAUACACGUCGACCGCUUCACAGCGUCGAUAUGUGGCACCGCGUCAACAAGCCGCUGCACCAGGCCGAAAUAACUACUCGGAACAGGCUCAGUCGGCCACAACCGGACUAUGACGUUCUUCAUGGCAGCGCCGGAUAUCCUAUGCAGCUCGGCCCACUGGGACAUCUAUUCAUUUAGCAACAGAGGGCACUUCGACGCGCCGAAUUGUGACUAGAAAAGCUUCUCCGUUGCAUACCCCUCUUGUGCGUGAUAAAACUGCGCCGCAUCGAAAGAACUCUUCGGUAAGUCCAAAAAUUUGUCCGGAGAACUCCAUACUUGGUUAAGCUGACAUAGUUCGGAUCGCCGAACUUAGUCUGUAGCAAAAAGGGCUUGCUAGCCGCAAUCUCACCAGCUUGCCGGAUCUCCUCACGGGCCGCUCUGGAUUCAGACCACGCUUCUCUCGCCUCGUAAGGCCUUGUCAAGUUCAGCCGUUUUGGCUUCAUUUUCCUUCUCAAGAAGUUUACAGCGGCUAGCCGCAUUCUCUAAUUCGUGCGCCAUGGUGGACAUCUUCUCCUUGUCUUGGCGCCGCGCAGCUUCUUCGGCUUUCAACUCAGCCGAUGCCUUUCCGGCAGCCGCAUUACUAAACCGGGCCUGCUCCUUGGCCCGGGCUAGCUCCGCCCGAAGGGCCUCCACGGCGGCAGCACCAUCUGCAUUCAUGCACAUUUCAUAUAAAACUCUUUUUAGAGUCAGGCUUAAAUUACAAGCACAUUGGUGUAAGGAAUGCUUGAAAUAUAUACCUUGCGAGUCGUCAAGACACCUGUUGAUCAAUGCAAUGUCAUCCUCCGCAAUAUCCAGCUUUCGCUGCAGUUCGGCCACUUUCGUAUUUCGGGUAGCCGCAGCAGGGGAGGCAGCCUGCAUUCCAAGUAAAAUCAAGGUUAGUACCUGAGCAUAUCUUUUCGAUCCUCCGAUCGCUUCCUUUGGAAGGCAAUCCGAGUCUCAGGGGCUACUGCAUAUACAACAGGUGCAUUCUGUCAAUAAAAUUCCAUUGGCAAAAUUACAUCACAAACCUCAAAACCCCUUAGGAGGCUCGUGAAGGCCUCGUUCAACCCGCUCUUUGCGGAUAGAACCUUUUCGACCACCGUAACCAUCAAGGCACAGUGUUCCUCCGAAACGGACGCUUGUCGCAGCAUGUCCGUCAGCAUUUCCGGCGCUUCUGGGUCUCCGGAAACCGCCGCCGGAGUACGACAUUCCUUUGAAGGAAUCCGCCCACUCACCUCCAGAAUCGUCUCCGGCUGUAAACCAGAUAGUGCGGGGCCGUCAUGCUUGAUUCCCGAACCCUGAGUGACAGAGGCACCACCUUCGGGUAAUGCCUUCUUCGUUCCGUGCACUACUUGUCGACCGGGAGGAGCCCCCCGGGAUGAUACCUCAGAAUCAUCCGCCCUGUUGGGCGAGGAGACCGGAGAAGGCGUGUCACUCUCCAUCAUCUCUGGAAGAAGGUCUCCCGAGGAGGAGGACGAUUGAGAAACACCAGGCGUUAACCUGCGAGGACGUACGUAUGUCGGAGGAGUACUUCAGUAAUAAGAAAGGAAUGAGGUAUGAUUAAAGUACCCUGCUGCACUUACGAUUUGGCCAGAGGUUUAUCCUCAUCAUAAAGCUCUACGUCAACAUCGCUUGCCCGGCCAAGCCGCCCGUCAAUGGCGUUUUCCCUUUCUUGGAAGGUUUCCCCUCCUGAUCUUCAGAAGCGGCCCUCUUCUUGCCAUGGAGCGCUUCCUCUGCACCUUUGCCCUCGGGCAAGAGGGUUUCGGUUUCCCCGAACACAACGUCUAAUUUAUCCUUGGGGCAGAGACCACCUCCGGCCUCCCUGUUCUCACCCUCCUCCGCAGACACCUGGUACAGUGUCGGAGUCAGCAUCCUCGUUAGCAGGGCGUUCGCAGAGUCUUCGGGAAGGGGCGCCGGACACCAGAUCAACACCGCUUUCUUUAUCCAGUCUUGUGAAGGGACGGGUUGUUCAAUAUCUUACCAAGAGAUACUCGAAUAGAGGGUAUGCAGAGAUUGAAUACUUACCGAAUUGUCCGGAUGAUUGCAGUCGAGGCCAACAUCUUCGGUGGUGUCCGGCCAUUGCUCUCGCUCCCCGAAAUAUAAUUUCCACAUUCCUUCGUGCGUAGUGCUGAAGAAGUGCUAAAGAGUCCGCCGCCCUUCUGGAUUAAACUCCCACAUACGGAGAGGCCGCCGCUGACACGGCAUGGUCUGGUGAACUAGCAUUACUUGAACGACAUUCACAAGAUCGAUGCCCCUCUCGGUAAGGCUUCGGAUGCGACUUUGCAAAGUCUGCGCUUCAUUGACGGAUCCCCAGUCCAAUCCCUUAUUGAUCCAUGAAGCAAGCUGAAUUGGAGGGCCGGGUCGGAACGCAGGCACAGCCGCCCACCUGGAGCCACGCGGCUCGUUGAUACAAAACCACCCCUGAUGCCAUAGGUCGGAGGACUCGGCGAAAGAUCCUUCAAACCAAACCGCACUGGCAAGCUUGCCUAUUAUGACGCUGCCGCACUCUGCCUGCUCCUCCUCUGCCACCUGCGGCCUCACGUCAAAGGUCUUGAGCCACAAACCAAAGUGCGGAGGAGUCCAGAGGAAGGCCUCACACGUGACAAUAAAUGUCGAGGUGAGGAGAAUAGAGUCCGGGGCCAGAUCGUGAAAAUCUAGCCCAUAGUAGAACAUGAGCCCCGGGACGAAGGGGUUAAGCGCGAACCCUAUCCCGUGGAGGAAGUGGGACACAAAUACUACCCUCUCACCGGAUUUGGGGGUAGGAAUAACCUGCCCCUGUGCAGGAAGACGAUGAAGGAUUUCCGGGGUCAGAUACCUCGCUGCGCGGAGCUUCGCAAUAUCCUCCUCUGUGACAGAAGAAGCUACCCGCCGGCCUUGACGGCUGGAUCCGGACAUGAUUAGGGCUGGUGGCGAUUGGAAUCCGAGGGUUGGAACUUGGGGUGGCUGGGGUUGAGGAAGGAGUGAGCGCAAAGGAAGAAGACAAGUCUGGGUCCCUAUAUAAAGACCCCAAAUACUGAGCGUCUCCACCUAGGUCUCAAAACUUACCUGUCCCCAAAGAGUUGUACCCAGGAGAUGGUUGGGUUACCCACGCCUGCAUUAAUGAAAAUCCCGUGAAUAAGGGAACACGAUCUCUGCCUUGACAAGACGUGCCAGAGAAACCGCGUCCCGAGACAUGGGGCGACGUGCUAGCCAACGGUUGGAAAUAGUAACCAGGCAGGCGUGAUACGAUGUCAUAAACAGUUAUCAGCAAAUUGGACUCGUGGAAUAUUGUAUUUUCUGCAAUUAUAUGCACAGGUCCGGACAUACUUACUACACCCGAAGACUAUUAUGGAGUUCGGAAGGAGGGAACCCGCCUUGCAAUGCCAAAGACAAAUCUGCGCGCCGGACUCCUCGUCAUUGAAGCCAGGUUCAGGGGCUACUGAGGGAGUCCUGGACUACGGGGUCCUUGGGUGUCCGGCCUGUUAUCCUUUGGGCCGGACUGAUGGGCUGUGAAGACAUGAAGGCCGAAGGCUAUACCCGUGUCCGGAUUGGACUCUACUUGGCAUGGAAGGCAAGCUUGGCAACCGACUAUGUCGAUUCCUUAUUAUGUAACCGACUCCGUGUAACCCUAGAUCUCUCCGGUGUCUAUAUAAACCGGAGAGCGUAGUCCGGAUAGAGAUACUCAUUACCAUAUUCACAUAGGCUAGACUUCUAGAUUUUAGCCUUUACGAUCUCGUGGUAGAUCAACUCUUGUAACACUCAUAUUCAUCAAGAUCAAUCAAGCAGGAAGUAGGGUAUUACCUCCAUAGAGAGGGCCCAAACCUGGGUAAACAUCGUGUCCCCCGUCUCCUGUUACCAUCGAUCCUAGACGCACAGUUCGGGACCCCCUACCCGAGAUCCGCCGGUUUUGACACCGACACCCGAUGCUCUUCCCAAAUGUAGGCGGGAAGGGAUCCCACAAUGGCCAAUUUUGAAGGAAGACAACUAGUACAAGUUAUCCUGACAAAAGUAGUCUUCGCCUGCCAAAGGCUCUGGCGGUGACGCUGUCAUGGGCUCCGCGAUGACCUCCAUCCUGCUGGUCUUGGUCUCAUUGCACUGAUAUGGAAACCUUUGCCUGAUGCCUCGGGACUCCUCGUCUGCGCUUGCCUCUUUAACACCAAAGAGGAAACUGGUACACUACGCCCACUGGCGCCCGCCUGGCCUUGGUCGUCAUGGCUCACGUCAUGUGAACCUCGCGAGGUGCCCCUUGCAUAGAUAUCUCCACUCCUCACGAGCCAGCCUAGCGAGGCCGCCCCCAGGGAGGUCUUGGUGUCGUCCGCCUCGCGAGGCUUGGCCCCUCGCGAGGGUCUUGAGCUGUUGCUGCCGAAGUUGGGCCAUACCGGGCCAUUGGUGGAGCCACGCCGUGGGCCGCAGGUAGGCAAGUCUGGGUACCCCCGUUCCCAGGACGCCGACAAUAGUUAUACUUGUUGCCAAACGCAACUUCCAGUUUGAUCUACCCAAUGGGAUAGGCAGACUUUCCAUGAACAAUCCCAUGAAAAACGGUUGAGGAUGGCAGGAGUUGUUGACAAGUUCAUGCGCCUGAAAGUAUCAUAAUACAGGAUGUUGAUACUGCUUCCUUCGUCCACUAGUACCUUAGUGAGCUUAUAGCCAUCGACCUGAGGCACCACCACCAAGGCUAGGCAACCCGGGUGGGGAGGAUGAUCUGCCCUACUCCAAGUGACUGGUUGUUCUGACCAAUUCAAAUAUUCAAGCACGGCCGGCUCAACCAGGUUGACAGUACGCUUUUGGAGUUUGCUAUCCUGCUUGCAGGUGCUAGUCGUGAAGACGUGAUACUGCCCACUAUUUAACUGCUUGGGAUUGCUUUGAAAACCUGUCUGGCUACCCUACUGCUGAGUACCUUGGCCAGAAUGCUGAUUCCCACCUCCAUGAUUGCCAGACCCCUGAUACCCAGAUCCAGAGCUGCCAGGAUCAUGAAAACCACCGGAUGAGCCGGCUCCAGGAAAACCGGAUCUUGGGCCGCCGACAUCCGGUUGGCCUGGGUUUCCCCCACCGCCACUCUGGUGAUUCUUGUAAGCUUGAUUGCGAAAUUGCUGCAUAAUAUAAUAGUUCUCCUAGGAGUGGUUCGCAGGCUUAUCCUGUGUACUAUGCUUGGGACAUGGACCCUUGAGGGCUUCCUCGAAAUUGCGAGCUUUAUUUGCAUUGAAUGACCUCCCGAAGUUAUUCUGUCUUUGGCCCUUGAAACUAGUAUUGGUAUUGGCAACAAAAUCUGAGCUGCCCUCUGGGUUUUUGCGUUUACCGCCAUUGCCUUCACCACCAUGGUUGCCACUGUACCCUGAGUUGCCCUCCUGUUGACCCUUGCCGCCACCAUUUUUCUUUCCCUUACCAGCCUGAUCAUCAUCUGGGCUAGGAUCUUUUGUGGUGUCCGACUCUGCAUAUCUUGUCAGGACAUCCAUGAGUUCGCCCAAGUCCUGAACCUUACGCUUGAGUCGCCCAAGCUUCUGAAUGAGGGGAUCAAAAUGACAGUUUUUCUCCAGGAUCAAGACAGCUUGAGCAGCUAAUGUGCCAUCAGAGGAGUAGAUAAUAUCUGCGACCCGGCGAGACCAAUGAUGAGCUGACUCGCCCUCACGCUCGACAUAAUGCUCUAAAUUGACAAUUGUCAAUGGGCGCUUGCAUGUUCCUUGGAAGUGCUUGAUGAAGCGCGCCUUCAACUCUGACCAAGUGUUGAUGGAAUUAGGGGGCAAGUUCUUCAGCCAAGUACGAGCUGGUCCCUCCAGCAUCAUGGUUAAAUACUUAGCACAAACCACGUCGCUAACGUCCAACAUGUCCCUGGCGAUUUCGGAACUCUCGAUCCAAGCUGUCAGUUCGAGGUCAGACGUGUAAUUAGAAACCUUACGAGGGCCUUUGAAAUCCUUAGGCAUACGCUCAUUGCGUAGAGCCGGCGCCAUGCACUUAAUCCUGAUAGUUCUGCUACUCGAUCCUACGCCCUGUGAGGCCAAAGGAGUUGAAGUGGUUGAUGGUUGAGCUGCUGCGUGGGCCGCUUCUACUUCCCGCCGUGCGCGGUCCGUGUCGACGAUCCUGGGCAUCUAGGGCUCCAUGCUGAGGCGGGUCACGCGGCUGCUCGCGUCUUCAUUGGGCACUACUAGAGACGACUGGCGACUCUGUUUGGCGGCUCCUGUUGUGCCUUGGAUGCGGGGUGGAGUGGAGUCGCUGCUGACUAUAGGAGUAGUUUGCUUGCUGUGCAACCGCAGUCUUCAACAUCUCGAUGGCGUGCAAAGGUUCCCUCUCAACUGGGGUAUUCCUUGUGAUCAGAAGUGCGGCGAGGUUGGUAGCUACUGCCAACAAGUUAUCAACAAGAUUGGAAAAGUGGUCGUUGGUGUCACAAAACGGUCUGGAGUCAUACGAAAAGGCGGCGGGUGUUCGCCGGCUCGAGCUGAUGCUGCUGAACCAACUGUUAGGGCUGAGCUGGCGGUUGUCGCCCGUCUCCAUCCUGGGGCACGACCCGGUUCAAUUGGGGUAUAACCGGAGCCCCCGGGGUACUCGUCCCAGCCCCCAGUGUAGGUGUGUUGAACAGAUGCCUAGGCUCGUAAUCAACAGGCACGCGGGUCUCAUGUCACCUCCUAUGAACCAUAUCUAAAGCAUUUUGCCGCAGACCCAUGUGUCAGGCCUCCGUCCUCAGGCCCUCUGUUUCCUGUUGGAUUUGGGCUCGUAGCUGCACCAUGUGAGCGUUCUCGGUGUUGACAUCCUUCUGAGCCUUAGCCAUCUGCUCGCGAAUUUUAGCCACAUCUGCAUUGCGUUCCACUUGGUUCUCCGCUGUUAGUGAUGACUCAAGGAGCGUCGUCAAUGAGGCGACUAGCUCUGAAAGAACUUGAGCUGGUGUUUUAACUGGGCCAGUCACACUUGGAUCAACUGCUGAAGUGUCGGUUCCUCCCAUGGUGCCGCCGGCGCAGUGCCUACCAUGUAGAUGGUGGUCCAGUGGGGCGGCUCGUCAUCAACCGGAGCCGGCUCAUCAUCAGAGCAGCCCCCAAGCCUGUCGUCAUACAGCGGGAGGAUUGACUCGGUAUCCCCGAUCGACUCGUCGUCGGAGUAAACAAGGGUGUCCCCACCAGACGUGGAGUUAUCCGCGAGAUCAAUCCCCUGGUUGAAGCCGAUGAAGACAUGGUUCCGGCCGGCUUGGGCCUAGGCUGGUUGCGUGUGCCGAGCCGGAUCGACGAUGUCGGUGCAGAUGUCCGGCUCGGGUCCUGAUUCACUGAUUUUGCCGAUGAAGACGUGGAUCUUGCCGAAGGGGACCCGGCACCCGUACUCGAUUGAGUCGGCCUCGGAGCCCCAGCCUGAAUCGUCGAUGUAGAGCAUUCCGCGGCGACUCUUGGUCAUGCGGCCGAUCGCGUAUCCAUCGAUCACUGGGAGAGCUCCCUCCAAGAACUCGACACCACCGAGCGAUAGCCCCACGGUGAACGCCCACUGUCGUGGUUUUGUCACGGCAGAUGUCCUCUUGAAAGGACUUAGUCGUGAGGCCAUCGCCGUGAGGUGGUAGCUUGAACGGGGUUGAUUGGAAUCAAAGGCAAGGGUUUACCCAGGUUUGGCCCCUCUAUAUGGAGGUAAUAGCCUACUUCCUGCUUGAUUGAUAUUGAUGAUGAUGAUCUCAAUUACAAGGGUGCGACUUGGCUAUCCUAGUACUCGAGAGCUUGUAACUUAAGUUUUUCUGCCUCAGGGGCUCUCCUUUAUAUACAGGUCUAGGCCCUGGGCUUACAACAGAGUCCGGGUCGUACUACGACCCAUGCCCUAAUUAGUUUCCUACUCGUCUUGCUUCCCAAGUAAGGGAAUUACAACAUCCUUCAGUGAGCCGCCGCCUCUGGCGCUGGGACAUGAGCAGGCACACUCUACGAGUCGCCCCAUGGGCCUUGAGGUCUUGAUCACCACAACCCAUGUUAAGUCUUAUUUGUCAGGCCGCCACCGGAUAACCUGGCCCUGAAUGGGCGGGUCAUACCGUGGGGUUCUAUCCCCAACAAGAUGGAUGUGUGGCCACACAAGGAAGGACCGAGUCCAAAAUGAUGAUAUACGAGAUAGAGUUGGGGUAGUGUCGAUUGAAGAGAAGCUUGUCCAACAUCGUCUGAGAUGAUUUGGGCAUAUUCAAUGCAAGCCUCCAGACGCGUCAGUGUAUAGCGGACGGCUAAAGCGUGCCGAUAAUGUCAAGAGAGGUCGGGGUAAAUCGAACUUGACAUGGGAGGAGUCCGUAAAGAGGGAUCUGGAGGGCUGGAGUAUCGACAUAGAACUAGCCAUGGAUAGGGGUGCGUGGAAGCUUCCUAUCCAUGUGACAGAACCAUGAGUUGGUUACGAGAUCUUAUGGGUUUCACCUCUAGCCUACCCCAACUUGUUUGGGGCUAAAGGCUUUGUUGUUGUUGUUGUGAUGCUAGAUACUCAUGUGUCUGAAGUCUAUGCCAAAUUUCAUGGAGUUUGGACAUUUCAGCAGCUCUCGGCAAAAAAAAAAGACAAAUUUGGGGUUGUAAGAAAGUGCACUGUUCACAUACAGUUUUGACUGUUUUUUUUUUUGCCAUGAGCUCCUCAGAUGUCCGAACAAGCUAAAAUUUGGCACGAACAUCACGCAUUGGAACAUCUUCCACCUGAAAAAGAAUUAAGAUAUUUUUUAAUUGCUUUAGUAAAUUUCUUUUUUGAAUCUACUGUUCACCGGGUGCAGAUGAGCCUCGACACCGAAUUGAAUAUACAACAUAUAAAUAUGAUACAUACAUGGUCGUAUUUAUUGUUUUUGCAAACAUGUGCCAGUAAUAACUGUUACUGGGAGGAUUUGUUGGCAUCAAUAAGUGUACAUAUCUGGUACUAUUAAUUUCCUUUGACAGGAUUUGGACAAUUCGCAGCAGUAGUUAUUUAUGUGGUUUAGCUGGACAUGCUUUACAUUUGAAAACAUGUCAUGUUUAACUUUUGUUCGAUUAGGCAGGCAUUCUAAGGAAACUACAAUAUGUGCUCACAGUUUGUAGGGGAAACAUCAUUUUAUAAUUGCUCCAUUUGUUUGCUGAGUUUUUGUGUACAGGCAUCAAUUUUGUUUCCUGAGUUAGAUUGCUCUAGAAGUUGGACUCGGACAGAUGGCAGAGUCUGAACUUCCAACUAAAAUCAAGUGAAAAGAUAUUUGAUUUACGCAAUUGGGAUGGGAUCACAUGCUUCACUUUCACAAGCAACUCGUAGCAGCCACUGAACAAAGGAAGAAAUGGAAUCACUUAAAUUGAUAGCACAGAUAAUCGCCACCUUUUAUUCGAUUUAUCUUCGUCAUCAUCGCUGUUUGGUACAUUACCAUGGCAGUUCAGGGGAAAUGCAGAGAACAAGCCAUUUCAGGCUUACACGCGCAUACGCAUCAUAGACUACAUAUAUGAAACGGCCUUUGUUAGGCAGCAGAGUUUCCACAAGUCCAUGGCUAUGUCUUAUUUAUCUUCACCAGAUGCACCAACAGCAGGUUAUCCGGUUGACGAGGCAGCGUCCUCAG
rnacentral:lncRNA from 1 species